UUGAAAUCAUGAACAUGAUUUCUGAUCCUGAUCUUCUGCAAGCCAAAGUGGAUGAAAUGAACAUAAUCCUAAAAACAGGAGAAGCAGGAGUCAAGUCGG